GACGAACGCUGGCGGCGUGGAUUAGGCAUGCAAGUCGAACGGUAGGAUACCUUCGGGUAUCUGAGAGUGGCGAACGGGUGAGUAACACGUAGGUGAUCUACCCUCAAGAUUGGGACAACCCAGGGAAACUUGGGCUAAUACCGGAUGAAAGCAGCAGUGAUGUUGUUUGAAAGGUGGCGUAAGCUGCCGUUUGGGGAUGAGCCUGCGCUCUAUUAGUUAGUUGGCGGGGUAAAGGCCCACCAAGGCGAUGAUAGAUAGGCGGCCUUAACGGGUGGUCGCCCACACUGGGAUUGAGAUACGGCCCAGACUCCUACGGGAGGCAGCAGUCGAGAAUAGUCUACAAUGGCCGAAAGGCUGAUAGUGCGACGCCGCGUGAACGAAGAAGCCCUUCGGGUGUAAAGUUCUUUUAUAUGUGAGCAGUGCUUUCUAUGUGAACAGCAUGGGGAGAGAGAGUAUUAGCAUAUGAAUAAGCAACGGCUAACUCCGUGUCCCAGCACG
rnacentral:rRNA from 1 species